UGCCCUAUCCGUCAGGAACUGUGAUAUAGUUAAUAGACACAGUGCCUAUCGGUAGGGAACA
rnacentral:pre_miRNA from 1 species